rnacentral:lncRNA from 1 species
GUGCACAGUUAUGAGUCAAGGUUUAAACAAAAAUAUUUUAUAGAACAUGUAAAGUAAGAGGUUCACAUUGUGUAAAUGCAGUGAUUGAACUAGAAGUAUCAACAGAAUAGUUUACCAUGCUGUCUUUAAAUAUCAUGGUAUUGGGCUGUGUUUAAUGAAUUUGGUUAACAUUCAUGGCACCCUAUUAAACAGAGAUAAGAAAGUAGUAGAGGAAAUUUCAGUAUAAUUGCAGAUGUAGACUCUGUAUUUGUGUGUGUGUAUGUGUGUGUGUCUGCAGUUUGUAGAGUGGUUUGUGAACCUGGAUCAUUCUGCCUUGCUGUGGGUUGUUCAGGAAACCCACCCAUUCUUUCUGCUGGCCCUGUGCUUUCUCAUUCACCCUCCUUGCCUCCUGCCUGUCCUGGGGCUGUGGACUGGCACAGUAAUCCCAGGAGCGGGACUCCCCUCAUAGAUGAAUGCAUCCAUAAGUAAAGGAGCCACCGUGUCCUUCCUGGAAAUUGGCAACAAUCAGACUCCAGGGUGAGAGCAGGGCUACUCCUGAUCAGCUAAAAAAGAAAGCUGUUUAUCUUUGGAACUAUCAACGCCCCUGUUUGUGAACACAUUGUAGGAAGAAGAGAGGAGAGAUGUCUGUGGAACUUUGUUCUGUUUUCUGCUACAAAAUGUGAAUAGCUCAAAGAGUGAAAACCUUUUGUGAUGGUUGAUGUCUCAGGAAUAAGCUGGAUCUCCAAUGUUUGGGGGAUGCUUUAACUCUCAAAAACCGAUAAUCAGAAAAGUAUUUUUUUGUUUGUUGAAUGUGUCCCUGUUCUGAUUUUAAUUAAACUCCAAAUUUCGCUUUACAAAAAAAAAAAAAAAAAAAAAAAAAAAAAAAAAGGUGGACAUUGUGGUCCAAUGGUUAAGCUACCAAGUAGGGACCUGCAUCUGGUAAGAGUGUGAUUUAAUUUUGGAUGAUCCAGCUAUUUGCUAACUCCUGGGAGGCAGCAAACAACAGCCCAAAUGCAUUCAAAUGCUUGAGAGCCUCCCACCAGGCUGUGAGACUGGGAUAGAGUUCCCGACAUCUGAUCAGGUGUUGUGGCCCUUUGAGGAGUGAACCAGCAGAUGAGGGAUCGUUUUCUCUUUCUCUCCUUUUCUGUCACUCUGCCUUUCAAAAAUAAAUAAAUAUUAACACACUUACA